rnacentral:lncRNA from 1 species
UCGCCGUCAGUCCCGCCGUUCUACCAGUCGGCGCACUCGUCAGAGCCACGUGGAGGUGUUUCGCACACCCGUCCUAAACCUGGUUGCCGCCGCCAAGAUAGCCGAUUCCCUCCAGCCGACUGAUUCAGAGGCUGGCAGAGGGAUCGAGCAGAUCCGUGCCCUGCUACACACGACGCAACAGCAAAAUUCGGCGGUCUCCCAGUCACACAACAGGAUCCAUAAUAGUUCUGUUCACGCGAACACGCAUCGGUCAGUUCACAUC